AAACCUAUUUUAUGUAUUACUUAUAAAGCCCUAAUGACAUUUAUAUAAGCAAAAGUAUUUUUACUUAUUUUAUUUUGAAAGGAUUCAAGUCCCAAAAGUUCACACUUUGGAGGAUUUGAAUUUACAAAUUUUCUGGAGUUUAUUUGGACUUAUUUGGAGUUAGGAAUCAAAAGUUAUUAAUAAAAACAGAAAUGGAAAAAAAAAGGAAAAAAAAAAGAGAAUGGACCGACCCAACUGGGCCGGCCCAUCUCCACCGAGCGCCCAGCCAGCGAGCACGAGCUCGUGCGGUCUUCCUCUUCUGCACAUAAGGAAUCCAUUGUUUCCAUAUUUUCUUUCUUCGAUUUAUUUCCUUCCCGCGCGUCUCUCUUCAAAAGGAAACCAUCCCAUCAAUCCUCACCAUCCCGAGAAUCCAUUCAGGAAACCAAUUUGAAGUUUUCUCUCAUAAUCGCAGUUUCCAAAAGAGGUGCCCGAAUGCCGGCCAUCGACAUCCCGUGUCUGAUCUCUAUACUCGGCCACUAUAAAAGGAUUCCACGCACGUCACUUUGAGACUUUGCCUCUCCUCUCCCACUUCUAUGUAGAAAGUUUGCCCUCAAAACCUCUGAACAGCCGGCUACGUCGACGUCUUCCUCCGCCGGGUCACCGCCACCAUUGUUGCCAGUG
rnacentral:lncRNA from 1 species